CCGGGAGCUGGUUAUGAUGUUGCUGUCGCCCCAGCAUCACUAUACAGUUCAUGAAGGAUCAGUAAGAGAAUAGCUUGAACUUGACAGCAGCCAUGCGCCCCAAGGAAAGGAUGCAUUCCAGCUCUUCCAAGGGUAGGGAGGCUGAGUGGACCUAAAUAAAAAAAAAAAAAUUGUGUGUGUAUGUGAGAAUGUGUAUAUGUCGGUCAGUGAGUGUCA